CUUUACCAAAAAAAAAAAAUAUCUCUAUAUAAGAACACCACUUUGAAGCGGGUCCAAAGUCUGGUAUCAAGUAAGAUGGUAUUUGGCUGCUGUCUAGAGCCAACAGCAUCGAUCCACUUUCUUUGAAGACAUAUAGAUCAUUAAUUUUCCUAACGAUAGGUUCGAUGCUACUCAUACCUUCUCCCUGAAAUUAACCAAACUUGACUGAGUCCCAAAAAUUUGUACAUCCUGGUAAAAGUUGACUUCUGAGAGAAUUGUUGCCAGUCAUGUGAAUCAUUAAAUUCACCUAAUCUUACCCCUGAAGGACGGGUGGUCAAAACUAAUGGAACCAUAGUUAAGUCAGAUGAUCAGGAACGCAAAGAAGAUGUAUGAAAGGUGGAGAAUCGGUCCCGAAAACUGGAAAUUCAUUCAAUGGAGAAGAUCUGGAUGGAUGGGUAUUCAGAGCGGAGAGGUAUUUUACCAUCAAUUUCUUGUCCAACCGGGAGAAAAUUGAGGUGGCCGCAAUUUGCUUUGAAGGAGAGCAUCUAGCUUGGUUCCAAUGGAAAGAUAGCUGGCAGAUAAUCAGGAGUUGGGAUGAUUUAAAGGGGCGCCUGUUGGAACGAUUUCGGCCAUCCCAGGAGGGCUCGAUUUUAGAGAAAAUCUUGGUGCUUAAACAAUAAGGGACGGUCAAGGAGUAUCGUAGGAGAUUCGAGGUUCUGG
rnacentral:lncRNA from 1 species